rnacentral:rRNA from 1 species
GAUGAACGCUGGCGGCGUGCCUAAUACAUGCGAGUCGAGCGAACGGACGAGAAGCUUGCUUCUCUGAUGUUAGCGGCGGACGGGUGAGUAACACGUGGAUAACCUACCUAUAAGACUGGGAUAACUUCGGGAAACCGGAGCUAAUACCGGAUGAUAUUUUGAACCGCAUGGUUCAAAAGUGAAAGACGGUCUUGCUGUCACUUAUAGAUGGAUCCGCGCUGCAUUAGCUAGUUGGUAAGGUAACGGCUUACCAAGGCAACGAUGCAUAGCCGACCUGAGAGGGUGGUCGGCCCCACUGGAUCUGAGACACGGUCCAGACCCCUACGGGAGGCAGCAGUCGGGAAUCUUCCGCAAGGGGCGAAACCCUGAAGGAGCAACGCCGGGUGAGUGAUGAAGGUCUUCGGAUCGUAAAACUCUGUUAUUAGGGAAAAACAUAUGUGUAAGUAAAUGUGCACAUUUUAACGGUACCUAAUCAGAAAGCCCCGGAAACCCACGG